rnacentral:pre_miRNA from 13 species
UGUCGCGAGAUUUUCUGUUGUGCUUGAUCUAACCAUGUGGUUGCCAGGUAUGAGUAAAACAUGGUUCCGUCAAGCACCAUGGAACGUCACGCAGCU